rnacentral:rRNA from 1 species
GACAGAGGAUGCAAGCGUUAUCCGGAAUGAUUGGGCGUAAAGCGUCUGUAGGUGGCUUUUCAAGUCCGCCGUCAAAUCCCAGGGCUCAACCCUGGACAGGCGGUGGAAACUACCAAGCUGGAGUACGGAAGAGGCGAGUGGAAUUCCUGGUGUAGCGGUGAAAUGCGCAGAUAUCAGGAGGAACACCAAUGGCGAAGGCAGCUCGCUGGGACGGUACUGACGCUGAGACGCGAAAGCGUGGGGAGCAAACAGG